rnacentral:rRNA from 1 species
GCCAGACUCCUACGGGAGGCAGCAGUGGGGAAUAUUGCACAAUGGGGGAAACCCUGAUGCAGCGACGCCGCGUGAGUGAAGAAGCGCCUCGGCGCGUAAAGCUCUGUCAGCAGGAACGAUAAUGACGGUACCUGAAGAAGAAGCCCCGGCUAACUACGUGCCAGCAGCCGCGGUAAUACGUAGGGGGCAAGCGUUAUCCGGAUUUACUGGGUGUAAAGGGAGCGUAGACGGCAGCACAAGUCUGGAGUGAAAUGCCGGGGCUUAACCCCGGAACUGCUUUGGAAACUGUGCAGCUAGAGUGCAGGAGAGGUAAGUGGAAUUCCUAGUGUAGCGGUGAAAUGCGUAGAUAUUAGGAGGAACACCAGUGGCGAAGGCGGCUUACUGGACUGUAACUGACGUUGAGGCUCGAAAGCGUGGGGAGCAAACAGGAUUAGAUACCGGUA